rnacentral:rRNA from 1 species
UACAGAGGUGGCAAGCGUUGUUCGGAUUCAUUGGGCGUAAAGGGUGUGUAGGUGGCGCGCUAAGUCGGGUGUGAAAUUUCGGAGCUUAACUCCGAAACUGCAUUCGAUACUGGCGUGCUUGAGGACUGGAGAGGAGACUGGAAUUCAUGGUGUAGCAGUGAAAUGCGUAGAGAUCAUGAGGAAGACCAGUGGCGAAGGCGGGUCUCUGGACAGUUCCUGACACUGAGACACGAAGGCCAGGGGAGCAAACGGG